rnacentral:rRNA from 1 species
CUGUCUAGUCUGUACUGACGCUGAGCUCGAAAGCAUGGGUAGCGAACAGGAUUAGAUACCUGGUAGUCCAUGCCGUAAACGAUGAGUGCUAAGUGUUGGAGGGUUUCCCCCUUCAGUGCUGCAGCUAACGCAUUAAGCACUCCGCUGGGGAGUACGACCGCAAGGUUGAAACUCAAAGGAAUUGACGGGGGCCCGCACAAGCGGUGGAGCAUGUGGUUUAAUUCGAAGCUACGCGAAGAACCUUACCAGGUCUUGACAUCUUCUGCCAAUCUUAGAGAUAAGACGUUCCCUUCGGGGACAGAAUGACAGGUGGUGCAUGGUUGUCGUCAGCUCGUGUCGUGAGAUGUUGGGUUAAGUCCCGCAACGAGCGCAACCCUUAUUAUCAGUUGCCAGCAUUCAGUUGGGCACUCUGGUGAGACUGCCGGUGACAAACCGGAGGAAGGUGGGGAUGACGUCAAAUCAUCAUGCCCCUUAUGACCUGGGCUACACACGUGCUACAAUGGACGGUACAACGAGUCGCGAAGUCGUGAGGCUAAGCUAAUCUCUUAAAGCCGUUCUCAGUUCGGAUUGUAGGCUGCAACUCGCCUACAUGAAGUUGGAAUCGCUAGUAAUCGCGGAUCAGCAUGCCGCGGUGAAUACGUUCCCGAGCCUUGUACACACCGCCCGUCACACCAUGAGAGUUUGUAACACCCAAAGCCGGUGAGAUAACCUUCGGGAGUCAGCCGUCUAAGGUGGGACAGAUGAUUAGGGUGAAGUCGUAACAAGGUAACCA